UACAGAGGGUGCGAGCGUUGUUCGGAAUUAUUGGGCGUAAAGAGCUCGUAGGCGGUCUGUCACGUCGGCUGUGAAAUCCCGAGGCUCAACCUCGGGUCUGCAGUCGAUACGGGCAAACUAGAGUAUUGCAGGGGAGACUGGAAUUCCUGGUGUAGCGGUGAAAUGCGCAGAUAUCAGGAGGAACACCGGUGGCGAAGGCGGGUCUCUGGGCAAUAACUGACGCUGAGGAGCGAAAGCGUGGGGAGCGAACAGG
rnacentral:rRNA from 1 species